GACGAACGCUGGCGGCGUGCUUAACACAUGCAAGUCGAGCGGUAAGGCCCUCGGGUACGACGAGCGGCGAACGGGUGAGUAACACGUGGUGACCUGCCUCUAGCUCUGGGAUAAGCCUGGGAAACUGGGUCUAAUACCGGAUAUGACUCCACGGCGCAUGUUGUGGGGUGGAAAGCCUUGUGUGGCUAGAGAUGGGCCCGCGGCCUAUCAGCUUGUUGGUGGGGUGAGGCCCUACCAAGGCGACGAC
rnacentral:rRNA from 1 species